AAAGAAAAUGAUAGUGGCCGUAUCUUGCUUCUAUGGAAAUGAUGGUGGCUGGAGAUCAUGGUGAAUUAGGAAGAACAAAAUUACUUUGGCUGCAUCUUGCUACUAUGGAAAUGAUGGUGGCUGGAGAUCAUGGUGAAUUAGGAAGAACAAAACAAGCUUCUAAACUCGACCCUUUUUCCAAGCAAUAAUUUCUUUCAAAUUCUUGCCAAAUCUGAUUCGCACCGCAUCAUGCUUCUACGCACGUGAGCAAAAUCAUCAAUUUGGCUCUUAGAUCCAUAUAUGGCAUGUGAUCAUCUCUUUCUUCAUGAUGGUGCACAUCAU
rnacentral:lncRNA from 1 species